CCGCCCUCCGCGCCUCGGAGCCGGGCGUAUUCCGGACUGAUUUACCCAGGCCUCCUAGAGAAAAGGGCCCGUCGGGCGUCGGCAAAUCCCGGGGCCGGCGAGGCGCGGGGGCGUUGCAGGUAGGGGGAGGGGAGAAAGCAGAAAACCUGAAGGCUGAAGGCGAACUUCCAGGAGCAUCCCUGGGCUCUUGCGAAGGGGGAAACUUGCUGACCGCCCACUGCUCCACGGUUAUGGGAUCAAGGGUUGUCACUGAGUCAGGCUGUGACUGCUUAUGAGAGGGAAAAGUCACUAGCUAUAACCCGCUGAGAAUGUCUGCCGUGCAGAGUUGCUGACUUGGGGGUCUCGCUCACCGGCCACUGGCUUCCAGCGUUCUCUUAGUGGCAGGUAAUAGUUUGCCUACUAUCGGAUGGGCGCAAAAGCUAAAGGGAACAUUAUAUUUGAGAGUCAACUCAGCUAAGUAGCAUGCAUUAGGUGGGCUCAGGUGGUCACUUAUUGGUGCCUGUCAAAGGCAGAAAACAAACUCAACAGUCGUCACAAGGGAGACCAGGCCACUAGAAUAUUGGGACAAGGAGCAGGUCUGAAGCAGGAAAAAGAAGAGGGGUGGGGAGACAGCAAAGCAGGGGACCCCUGGCAGGGGUCGGCUGUCCAUAAAUCCAAGUUUCUCUCCUCGAACCCCACCCCUCUUCCUCCAGUCCGGAAAAGGCUUCCUCCUGGGAGACCCCCAGUGAAACGAGCUGUUCAUAUCUCCUGAGCCUGGAAAUCCUUUUACUUCUCUUUAACCGGUUCACCAGCACGUGGUCUUCGAUCCCAGCCAGCAACUCCCUCUCAACUUGGGACGCGGGUGGCCCAGAAACCACUCCGAACCCAGAGACUGGAAGAGCUGGGAGUUGCACAAGGAUCUGACUAGUAAGGGCUUCUUCCCGGCCUACUUGGUAAAGCCACGUGCUAGCGGCCUCCUAGGAUAGGGGCGUUCUGGAAUGUUGCUACCCAUAGAGCUUCCCCAGGCUUCAGCGCUGCCCUGCGGGCGCACAGACGCGCUCCCGCGGCAGCACACCCACGGGCUCUCCCGAGCGCGUACACGUGCACCCACGCGGAGGCAAGAUCCACACAGCUGCCUCUGUCAGGCAGGCACGCAAGGGGUGUUGUGUUUGAGGUGUUAAAGGCUCUCGCUUGUCCUCCGUCUCCUCCUUCCUCUUCUUCCAACCUGUUUCCUCAGGGCUCCGGGUCCAGUCCCGGGUUUAGGAAUCCGCGCCAAACUCCCGGAGGCUUUGUUCAGAAGACGCCUCCUCCCUCCAGGUCCGCUGGCGCCACGGUCCGGGGCUCCAGGGCGAGCUCCGCGGAGCCGGGGCGGCGCGGAAGGAUCCGAGUUCUAGAGCUGCAGGCAAACUCUUCGGGCAGAGGGACUGCGCGGCGACACCUCCGACACCUCAGAAAAAUAGACCAAAGGGACCCCGCGGAGCAGGACAUCAGCGGACACCACCGCGGUCCGGAAGAGUCUCCUUAAAGCCAUCAGCGCCUCCCCAGUGGCUUUCUCUCCAGUGAAAGAAGCCGGUUUCUGACAAGUCCAGGGCAAAAAAACCUGCGGCGAACCAAGUCCGGGGACUCUCCGAGAAACAGAGUGCUUCCAUCUUCUCCUCACUUAAAACUUGGCCGCUUCUGGGACUUCACUGAGGGACGGCGGAGUCGCACCAGCGUGGACCACAAGCAGAGGCGAGCGAGCACUGCCAAAUACUUUUGGACGCGGCGGUGGCCCCUUUUUCCUUCAGGAUUGCCCCCUGGCCACCCUUUCCUGCUGGGCUGAUAGGGACGGCUAAAGACCUGGAGAUAAAGUGCCCGGACUGAGAUGAGGAGAGGGAACACUUAACCAACUGUAAGAAAAGAACUGGGAACAGGGCAAAGUUCAAAUAUUUUCCUGGGUGCUUCUAAAGUCUGCACCUGAAUUUCAAUCUGGUGGCCACCAGUCGGCAGUAAGAUGAUACACUCACGUGGGUGAGACCAGACCACAGGGUUUGGCUUUUUUACAAAGGAGCAUAGAUUUUGAAGAAAGAAUUAAUUUUUACUUAUUUUAUGAAAGAUGCAUUUUUAUUAAAAUAAUAUGUUUUAUCUACAUAAAAGCAGGUUUUGUUUUUUUUUUAGAACAAUGACUUCUUAACAUAAAUUCCUAAGGCAUGAUUAGUUGAUUUCCUUCUAAUGUUUUCACCAGUUCUCUUUUAAGUAAGGUCUCUUUGGGAUUAGUUACUUCAAAGCACCCCCCCCCCGA